CAGACAAAAAGACCACAUGGAUUUGGAUAGAUGCCUCCUGCGUGUUCCUGUGGGAGAAGCACUGUCCCCUACAAAACCCAAAAACUCUUCUAGCAGAGUCCAGCAGCUCAGGUCUAAUAGUUAAUGAAAUGAAUACAGAACUGCUGCAUCCGAGACC